rnacentral:rRNA from 1 species
UAAGCAUAUCAAUAAGCGGGGGAAAAGAAACCAACAGGGAUUGCCCUAGUAACGGCGAGUGAAGCGGCAACAGCUCAAAUUUGAAAUCUGGCUCUCUUUGGGGGUCCGAGUUGUAAUUUGCAGAGGAUGCUUUGGCAUUGGCGGCGGUCUAAGUUCCUUGGAACAGGACAUCACAGAGGGUGAGAAUCCCGUACGUGGUCGCCUGCCCUUGCCGUGUAAAGCUCCUUCGACGAGUCGAGUUGUUUGGGAAUGCAGCUCUAAAUGGGAGGUAAAUUUCUUCUAAAGCUAAAUACUGGCCAGAGACCGAUAGCGCACAAGUAGAGUGAUCGAAAGAUGAAAAGUACUUUGGAAAGAGAGUCAAAAAGCACGUGAAAUUGUUGAAAGGGAAGCGCUUGCAGCCAGACUUGCCCGCAGUUGCUCACCUAGGCUUUCGCCUGGGGCACUCUUCUGCGGGCAGGCCAGCAUCAGUUUGGGCGGUUGGAUAAAGGCCUCUGUCACGUAUCUCCCUUCGGGGUGACCUUAUAGGGGAGGCGCAAUGCAACCAGCCCGGACUGAGGUCCGCGCAUCUGCUAGGAUGCUGGCGUAAUGGCUGUAAGCGGCCCGUCUUGAAACACGGACCAAGGAGUCUAACAUCUAUGCGAGUGUUUGGGUGUCAAGCCCGAGCGCGCAAUGAAAGUGAACGGAGGUGGGAACCCUUUGGGUGCACCAUCGACCGAUCCUGAUGUCUUCGGAUGGAUUUGAGUAAGAGCAUAGCUGUUGGGACCCGAAAGAUGGUGAACUAUGCUUGAAUAGGGUGAAGCCAGAGGAAACUCUGGUGGAGGCUCGCAGCGGUUCUGACGUGCAAAUCGAUCGUCAAAUUUGGGCAUAGGGGCAAAAGACUAAUCGAACCAUCUAGUAGCUGG